rnacentral:lncRNA from 1 species
UUUUUUUUUUUUUUUUUUUUUUUGUACUUCACAAGUCUUCACUCUAUAGUCUACACUGGAACUUGACGGCUAAUGUACAAUCUAACAUGGUUAUUAAUAACUUAAAUCCCUAAAAUACAUUCACCAAUAUAACUUAAAAGUUAAAUCUAAAUUUAAGUUGAGAUAAUAAUAAAUUUUUUAAAAGUUAUACAUGAAACCUGGAAUGAUAAAUAUAACUAAAAUAUCAUAAUUCACUCCAAGUUUUCAUAAAUUCAUUACAAACAUAAAUAGAUAUAGUCCAAAUGUUCAUCAAUUAUCACAAACAAAAACACAAAAAUAAAUAAAAUAAAUGUUAACAUUCUUUCACAAUUCUAAAAAAGUCCAUAAAAAAGUUCAACUCAUAUUCAAGGCAAACAAUUUGAAUAACAAACUUCCAUCAUUGGCAUGAUAAGGCAACAUCAUCCCCUUCACAAUUUCAUCAAUUUAACCUGAAAAAAUUAAAAAGUUUAUUACAAAAAAUAUAAAUCUAAUUGGUGAAGCAAAAAAAAAACCCAAAAAAUUUUGAAAAAUAAAGAUACAACCAAACACAAAAAGAAUCAAUUGCUACUAAACAUCACUAAUUAACAUGUUAUAUUGUCAAUCAUUAAGUACCCAAUCAAUUUCUGUGACCAUUCAUGAUUCAACUAAUUUUCUUGUGCUAAUGGCAAUAUCUCAAAAGAAAAUUUUGGGUCAGGAAGUGAAUAAAUAGUUCCUCAGUUCUGUCCCUUUUUUACUACUAAUGUAAAUAAUCUAACACUUCUUACUUUUAGAGUAUUAAUAAUCAACAGUAAUAAGCUAAAGCUGCCAAGCUUUGUACAAUAUAGCACCAAAUAAAUCUCCUAAAUUUUGAAUGAAAGAGAUAUAAUUUCUUAUGAUCCUAGUUGCUUUUAACAAAUAAAAAGCAAUUUAUUUUGUAUUUUUUGUAGCUCGGAUAGAUUUAAAGAAUAUAUGUGUGCGUGUGUUAUUGUCUAGGUAAUUUGAACAAACAAUAAAUAAAUGAAGCAAGAUUGUGAUAGGAAAGUCAAAGGAACAUAGAAUCCAAGACUGAGUCACCGUAUGAACUUUGAACAUUUGACAUUGCUUCCUGUAUAAAAGUUCUAGUCCAAUUUACAACACUUUCACUAUCGGUUAUCACAUACACAAACAACAUCAAUGGAACAAAAAAGGGCAUUCCAAAGAUUAAUUUCAGAAAAAUACAAAAAUAAAAAACCAAGCAUGUUUAAUUUUAUUAAUUUGAUACUUCAUCCAAAAAAUAAUUUCUCUAAACAUGACAGCAAAAUAAUUCAUGAUUAAUAGUUUCAUCCUUAACUAAUCAAACAAAAAUGAAACGUGAAUUAGGGAUAAGGAAACGGAUGAAAAUUGGGGGAAAAAAAAUAAGAAAAUACGAAAUAAUAUACAAAACAAAAAUCAAGAAAAGGCAAAAAUUAAACUCACCAAGAUGGAAAAGCUCUGGAGUCUCGUCUAAAGAUAAUAGCGUGAUGAUCUUGUCGUGGAUAUUAGGAUGUAGAAGAAUUAUGAAGAAAAAAUUUUAAAAAAAAUCAAGAGGAGAAUUGAAGUCUGGAGAAGCCGAGGAAUGGAGGAAGUGAAGCCGAGGAAACUGAAACGAUGUGUCGUCUGCACUUUGCUAGGUCUUUUAGGAUUUUUUUUAUUUAAUCUGAUUUUAGUUUUUUGGUUAAGUUAAGUAAAAUUCUACACAACAAAAGCUUGUCCUUCAAUUGUGGUUUAGUGGUAAGCAUACCUUAUUAUGGUCAUGGAGACUAGAGUUCAAAUCCCAACAGCCUCCAUUCUUGUUAUUGUUUUGAAUUUGAGGUUAUUGUUUCAAAAUCUGAGAAUCGCCGAUUCACGGUUCACACGAAUUUUCAGCGGUUCAACGGUUCACACGAUUUCCAGCGAUUUUUCACUAGCUUCCGAGUUUGAUACUAGACCGGACCGGUGCCAUGGCCGGUUCGCGGUCGGACCGACCGGUCCGGUCCGGUUCUGAAAACAUUGGCUUUAAUUGAAAAAUAUGCAGUAAAAUUACAGAAAACAUAUUUUAACACCACCAUCAACGUCAAGUUCUCCCUGAGACCUGAUUCCCAAAGCAACCCUAAGUUCAUGAGGUUGUACUGUUGUUUGAGAGCACUAAAAAAAGGUUUCAAAAAAGGAUGUAGGUUUCUUAUUGUUCUGGAUGGGUGCCAUAUUAAGGCACCAUAACCUGACUAACUAUUGAUUGCUAUUGGGGCUGAUCUCAAUAAUGGAUGGUGACCAAUAACAAAAGUCCAACUGUGCUAAAUCUAAUAUACAAAUAAGCCCCCUAUGGUUUCAAAAUAUACAACGCGAUACCUCGUGCUUUGAACUAAGUUGUAACACUGACGAAAAUCGGUAAAAUUAACGGGAACUGAUGAAAGGACCAAAAUGCCCUUGUAUAAUACCUAAAAGGCAAUUGAGCGGACUCAUUUCUUUCCUUCAAACCCUACGAAGAGAGAGAGAGCGAGAGAGAGGAAGUAAAGCCCAACCAAACGGAAUCAAGUAAGAAGAUCGAAAGAGACGAAGAUUUAUUCCAAAAAAUCGAAGGCAAAUGGGUAUGUAUGCUAUACUUCGUUCAUGUUAUAAUUAAUUAAAAUCAAUUCAUGUAUGUUAUAAUUAGUUUAAAAUUUAGGGUUACUUAUCUCAGAUUUUGAGGGCUGAUGAUGUUAUUUACACCCAAAUAUGCAAUAUUUGGGUGUUUACCUUAAAAAAUUCCUGAUUUUGUGAGUUUUGAGACUGGUACUUUGGAUUUAAAAUGAAGAUUUUUUCUGUUUUGGGACUACGACUUUGGUUUUGAAGCCGAAAUUUUUUUUUUAAAUUUUGGGUGUUGGAACUAGGAGUCAUGCAAAAAAUUUCUGAAAUGUCCAUUUCUGAUGGGAGAUUUUUGCUGAUUUGGGACUGCAAGUUUGGAUUUAAAGUCGAGAUUUUUGUUGAUAUUUAGGUGUUGACUAGGUGACGCAAAUAAUUUUUGAAAUUUUCAUUUGUGAUGGGAAAUUUUUGCUGAUUAGGGGUGUUGAGUAGGAUCUGUUUGUGUGUUUGAGUACGACUCAGUCACUUGUUAUUACAACAAAAUAUUUAACAAAGAAUUGUAAGUAAAAUUUCUAUAAUUGUUACUGUCUUCUCUGGUUUAGUGGUUCAGAAUGCUAUUAAAAUUGGUUUUCUGUUUGUGCUUUUAUGUUUAUUUGAUUUUCUGUAUAUCAAUGAUGUAGACAUAGUAGUUGGGAGACUAAAGCAUAUUUAUUAUAUUCCUUGAAACAUUCAACAGAAGAAGACAAGUCAGAGAAGACAGUAGAUAUACAUAUGUAUUUUGAUGGAAAAUUUAAAGAAUAUCCUGCCCUCCACUACACAGGAACCCGUAUGGCUAUCUUUAAAAAUAGACUUGAGAACCACAUCUGCAUAGUUAGCCUUUGCAGGAUGUUUAAAAAAGUGGAUGAGAAUGCAACUAGAGUGACUUUCUAGUUUUGUGCUCCAACAGUAGACUUAGAUAGUGGCCUACAUCCAAUUAGGGACCAUGAUGAUGUUAAAUUGAUGAAUAAAACAUAUUGGGGUUUGGCAACAAGGAUAAUAUAUGCCUGUAGUGGGGAUGAUCCUUUUGAAAAGUCACUAGAACAUGGUAGGGACAAUGUGUUGGAGCCAAAUUCGACAAUGGAUGCAUCAACAACAAAUAAAAAUGCAGAUGGGGUACAUAACACCAAAAUAGAUAGCGGAGAUGGUGAGGUACAAAAAAAAGAAGAUGGGGUUAAUAAUUGCAAUCCAAAUAAGCCAAAUAAUACUGAUGAUAAUGAGCCUGAAUGGUUGAAGGAGGGGUUGGAAAAAAUAGAGGAUGAGGAUAUUUUCGCAGGUAAAAAAGAUGUGGACAAAAGUAGUAAACCAGAAGGUGGGUCCAUACUACAUUCCACUCAUUUUAAGUCUUAUCACAUGUUCUCUUUCCCUGAGAAGGUGGCUAUCAAGAGUCUUACCAAAAGUGAAACUAGUAAGGAAAAAAAGUCCAGUAAAAAUAAGAAGCAAUCUGCCGGGCCAGAUAGCAUUGGAGAAAUUCCACCUCAUAUCUCAUUUCAGAUUUCAUCUCAAGCUGCAUCUCAAGCUGCUGACCAACACCCAUCUCAGAUCCCAUCACAAGCUGAAGCAGGGAACAGUAAAAAGGCUGAGGAAAAAUCAACAGAAGAAGGAGCACCACAUAUACCAGAAGAGGAUUGGCAAGAACCAGUAGUUUCUGAUGAAGAGUUGCUGGAUAAGUGCGGAUCUGAUGAUGAAGGCCAUGAAGAAUGUCAUGAUUUUAACCCUGAAGUGGAGUUUCUCAAGCCACAUUUUGAGUUGAAGGUUGGGCAGAAAUUUUCCAAUUUCAGAGUUUUUAGAUAUGUGUUGGUCGAAUGGUUGGUAAGAGAGGGAUAUGAUGUUGAUUGGGUAAAAAAUUACUCGAAAAAAAUUAUUGCGAAGUGUGCAAAGGGCUGUUCUUGGAGGAUUCGUGCAACACCAGUCCAAGGUGAAACUACUUUUCAAAUUAAAUCAUUGAAGGGCCAGCAUGUUUGUGCUAGAGAUUACAACAACAAGGAUGCAACAGCUAAGUAUUUGAGCGUGAAGUACCAAGACAAGAUAAGAGGAGACGCGAAGUGUGCCGUGAAUGGAUUUCAGAAUGAUAUUAGAAGAGAUCUAAUGAUUAACAUGUCCGUUGCCAAGAUACGCAGAGCACAGAGAAAGGCAAAAGAUGAGAUGCUUGGCACGGAUAUGGAGCAAUAUCACCACCUUUGGAGUUAUGCAGCUACAAUUAGAGAGACAAAUCCUGGUAGCACUGUCAAGAUUAAGCUUGAUACAGCAGAAGAAGGUUCACAAGGGACAUUUCAAAGACUGUAUUACUGUCUUUAUGCUUGCAAACAGGGGUUCCUCGAUGGCUGUCGACCAAUAAUUGGUCUUGAUGGGUGUUUUUUGAAAUCUGCAUUUGGUGGUCAGUUGUUGUCAGCAAUUGGUAGAGAUGGCAAUGACAAUAUGGUUCCAAUAGCUGUAGCAGUGGUAGAGGUAGAGAGGUAUGACUCAUGGAAGUGGUUUCUGGAACUACUAAUGGCUGAUCUGGGACUUGGUGUGGAAAACAUACCCUGGACAUUCAUCUCAGAUCGACAAAAAGGACUGGUCCAUGCAGUGAAUGAGUUAUUUCCAAAUUCUGAACACAGGUUUUGCUUGAGGCAUAUGUACCAAAAUUUCAAACAGAAGUUCAAAGGAAAAGAGUUGAAGGACUUGUUCUGGGCAGCAGCAAGUGUUGGGAAUGAAGUGGACUGGAAAUUAGCAAUGAAUUCCCUUGAAAAAGCUUCAAAGGAUGCAGCUGAAUGGCUGCAAAAAGUGCCAAGUGUUUUAUGGAGCAGGUCACAUUUUAGACAAAGUAGCAAAUGUGAUAUUCUUGUGAACAAUCUUUGUGAGUCAUUUAAUAACUAUAUCUUAGAAGCUAGAGAGCUACCUGUCAUAGGGAUGCUUGAGUGGAUUCGAAGAAGGCUCAUGCAAAGGAUUCAAGUGAAGAGGACUGGUAUGCAGAAAUUUCAAGGAAAAAUAUGUCCUAACAUUGCAGAGAAGAUUGAUAAGAAUCUGAAAUUCAGUAGGCUGUGUAUUCCCACAUGGGAUGGCAAGAACAAAUAUGAAAUUGACUAUGGGCCCAGAAAAUCUGUUGUGGUGGAUUUGAAGGAAAAGACUUGUACAUGUGGCUAUUUCCAGCUUACAGGUUAUCCUUGUGCUUAUGCAUGUGCUGCAAUAGGAGCAUGUAGAUUGCCUUUGCUUGAUUAUGUGCAUGCCUGCUACAGUAGAGAAAAUUACUUGAAAACAUAUGAGCACACUAUCACACCUGUCCCAAGUAAUAAGUACUGGGUGAGAUGUGAAGAACAACCCCCAAAACCUCAUGUAGUUCGAAGAAUGCCUGGCAGACCCAAAAAGAUCCGGCAAAGGGCAGCCGACGAGCCUAAAAAAGGUCAAGUCUCAACUAGGAAGGGUCUUGUGGUAACUUGCAAUAGAUGUUUUCAGCCAAGACACAAUUCAAGGACCUGUAAGAAUACCAUUCAUCCCAACUCCAAAUUCUACAAGGUAACACAGCUUACAGAUUUCAUAGGCUGAGACUAAUUGCUGUCCCAAAUCAUUUUAAUUGAACAUUAAUAUGACUUGUUUUUUAUAGGCACCUAACACUAAUGUAGUUGAAUCAAGUUCAGAACUUCAUUCAUCAGCUCCUUCACCAAUGGUGCCCCCGCAACCAGCCCCAAAUCAAGAACAAGCUGCACCUGUUCAAAAAAAAAAAGCUGCAGGCUCGGGAAGCAGUAUACGCAGCCAACAAUUGCGAGUGUGGCAAAAAAUGUGCCUGCUAGACAAUCAUGUUCUCAGGUUGGAUUUCAUGUAAUGCAAAAGUGAUUUAAUGAAGCAUUUUUCCUUCAAACAUUCAUAUUUGCUACUUCAAUUGCAGCCUGUGAGUGGAACAACUUCACCAGCAAAAGGACCCCUUCGUCCUACUGUUGCUGAUGUUCUAUACAACCUAAGGUCCAAGAAAGCAAGAAGAUGUUAGAGUUGAUUUUUGAAGUGGACUGUAUGUUUGUUGAUUGCCUUUUUGUGUAGUUUUAAGGAAUUAGUGGUUGCCGUUAGAGUUGUUGGCAAACAACUGGAAUGUAUGUUUCUGAUGUAUUUUGUCUACUCUGUUUGGAAUUGUUAUCAAUUAUUGCAAACUGGAAACUUUGAUGUAUUUUGAUUGGAUGCUUUUGUUUACUUCAUUUGGAGGAUUCUUGUCAGGUGUUGGACACUUUAAUGUACUUAUUGACCGUUUUAAUGGAGCAUUAUGAUUAUGGGCUGCAAUGGUAUUUCUCAAUUGCAUAAGAAGCUAUUUCUGGGCAGUUUUUAUGGGCUAGAAUCUUUCAUGUACUGUUUGUCUGGGCAGUUUUUGUUUGGUAGGAUGUAUUUUGUCUACUCUAUUUGAAAUUGUUAUCAAAACUGGAAUGUUUAGUGGGAUAUAUUUCUGGAAUGUUGGGUGGGAUGUUUGGUGGGAUAUAUUUCUAGAAUAGUUUAUGGACUGGAAACUUUAAUGUACUUUGGUGUACUUAUUACUCAAAACUGGAAUGCAGAAGACGUUAUUGUGUGUGCUUAUUGCUCAAAACUGUUUUUAAUGCACAAAUAUGAUUACAAGUGUAUAUAAUAGUUAGAUGUUUGUUUCAUUGUUUUAGGUAGGACAUCUUUCGGAAUAACAGAAGACUAAAGUGCACAUUUCCAUGAACAAAACAAACUACCUGAUUUUCUUCAUUUCCAUUCAUAAGCUUCUUCAUUGUCUUAUUUUACAGACAUUUUCAUCAACAGAAGCAAAAGUGAAAAAAUAGAUACCAUUAGACAAUAGCUAACUAGUACUUUCAAGUUCUUCACUUCAUCAUUCAAGUUCUUCACUUCAGAAUUCGAGUUCAAGCCCGACAAAUGUUCUUCAACCAUUGGCCUCUGUUCUUCAACCAUUGGCCUCUCAAAAAAGUUUCCUCUGCCGGUUUCAUCUCUAUAGAUGGGAUUACACCAUGAGAAAAAUCUGCAUUCAUCCCUUUCACAAACAAAGUACAGCAUCCCUUUGGAUGGCUUUUCGGACUCAACAAUCUUCACCUUUGCCUUUCUUCGACAGUCGCACAGCUUAUAUUGGUACCGUAGAUUCCUAGCUCCACUAUCCCCUCGAGAGCUUGAGGAAGACAUGAGCAAAUUUUUUAGCCAGUCAUUUCCCUUCAUCAGUAGAUAAAUCCCAAUUUAGUUACCAACAUUCUUACUUUAAACCCUAAUAACAACAAUUUGUUAGCCAAAACCCAAAAUCAAAUGCUUUUACCUUAUGGGCUGCAAUUUGUUAGCCAAGAUUGUGUAGAAGUUCCUCGCAGGUUGACUUCGUAUAUAGAGGAUGGCUUUACCUUUCAAACCUCCUGUGUGGUAAUUUGAUUUCUCCCAAAGGCUAGUUCAAUUUCUCUCCAUCAAGUAGAAAUCGAUUCUAUACACAAGCAUCGCUGGGAGGGAGUUUUAUUGGGGGCUAAGGGGUACAAUAGGAAUAUUUGCUAAAAAUUAAGUAUAAAGAAUUUGUUUUUAGCUUCCAGUACAUCAGUCCCGUUAAUUUUACCGAUUUCCGUCAGUGUUACAACUUAGUUCAAAGCACGGGGUGUCGCGUUGCAUAUUUUGAAACCAUAGGGGGCUUAGUUGUGUAUUAGGUUUAGCACAGGGGGCUUUUUUGUUUUUAACCCGAGAAACUAUCUAAGAGAUGGGGUCUAAUUUCAAAUGGUAAAGGAGGGUAUCAAAUCAGUGGAUUAAGGGGGAAACAGUUAGUUGUAUACUUAAGAGAGAAAAUAUGUACUUGUAACUUGUGGCAAAUUAGUGACCUUCCAUGUUGUCAUGCAAUUUCGACCAUUAUUAAAAUUGGUGGAACCCCUAUGAAUAUACACACGAUUGUUAUAGUAGAGAUGUCUUUUUAGCAAUCUAUGAUAAUGUAUUUUAUCCAAUAAAUGGCAAGUUCCUGUGAUUUGAGAGCAAUAUUCGUACCUUGAAUUCUCCCACACCAUGUGUUCAACCUGAUCGGUCAAAAAGAUCAAGAAGGAACUAAAGUAAGAAAUGUUCAUAUUGGAAAGGAAAAUGUGCAAAAAUUGAAGAAAUAUAUAAUCAUGCACUGCAAAAAAUGUGGGCAAGCAAGUCACAAUAGUGCUACCUGCAAAUAUGUUUCAGAUUCUGGUAUUGCUGGUCCAUCUCACUCUACUGGUAUGAAAUGUGUUGUUACAAAAUCUGCUACAGGCCUGCCACAUAAUCUGAUAGAAGUAAUUCUAGGAAUUACAAGUCCUGAAUCUGGUUUUACAUAAAGGUGCUUUUGGUGCAGAUACCCCUCAACAUGAAGCAUUUGUAGAGUCUGAAACAUUAGCAAGAAAAGAGGGGCAAUCAACAAUAACACUACUCCUGUUAUAUCUUCACAAGCUGAUAGUGUUGGAUAUGUGAAAACUUAUAAUGCUUAAAACGAACAAAGACUAGAUACUAUUGUUAGAACAACCAAGUCAAAACAGAAUAUUAGAAAGACUAAUGCACUAGUUAGUCCACAAUUUUGGUCCUACUGUUUUGACAUUUUUCUUAAUUGAAUUGUUUAAUUUACAAUGUGUUCAUACUGUCUAUAUUUAUUGCCCACAGAUGAGAAGAAUUAGGCCUACAAUUGCUAACCAAGACACCAGUGGCACUGCUGGACAUAUGAAUUCUGGAGCUCAUAAAAAGACAGAACCUGGCAAGAGAAAGUUGAGUGAUAUAAAUAAAAUUAUGAUCAAUACUAACUACGAAUACUUAGAUAAAGAAUCUCCUUUUAUGGUUAAUAGAUGGGCUGGAAGUUCAACAAACACCAGAGGUGAAGGCUCAACUUAAGGGAUCCAUCAAUUGUUUAUAUAUAUAUAUAUAUAUAUAUAUGUUGAUUUUACCUUCUCCAAUUAUGUCUAUUUGUAUUUGCCAUGUAUAAAACCAAAGGAACAGCUCACAUCUAAAUUCACAAUUAUAACAUUGUUUAAGAAAUAAAAUACAUUUUCAUCCCAAAAGGGUGAAUAACACCUGACAAAAUAAAGUGUAAACAUUAGUAUUACACAUAACAAUAUGUACAACAAACAAAAUUACCUACAAGAAACUACAAGAACAAUGGUGUCCUAAUACCCAUCAAAUUGCAACUUGCCAAAAUAAUGUCCAUUUGUAGGCUCCCAAAUCCAUAUCAAUACAGUCACAAUUACUCAGACCGCAACAACAAAAACAAUGAACAAAUUUUUCCUCGACUUACUCCCAAGUUUCUCUUUCACCUUUCUAUCUUGGACCUCCAUUUUUUCAGCUUUGUUUUGCCAUUUUUGAAUAUCUUCUCACAAUGCUUCAUUCUCCGAUUCUAGCCUAUUUGCUUUUCUCAGAAUACCAGGUAUUACUUGUUUCGAAUGAGCACACAUUUCAUUAUCAUAACACUCCUAAUAGCCAUAUCCAUCAAUCUAACCAAAAUUUUUUGUCCCAUCAAAUUGUAUAACACACCCUUUAAUUUCUCAACUUUAAUCUCCAAAAAAAAAAAAAAAAAACCUCACCUUAUCACGAGCACGUUCAAGGUAUUUUUUUAUUGGGUUUCUAUCAGUCCAUGAAGUCUUUAAAAUAGUUUUUCUUCUGUAUUGACAAAUCGGAGUUGCUUCCUUGCGGCUUGACAUCGUGGAGUUUUAACCUUUCCAACAAAGUAGAGAUUCCAAAAUAGUUGUUAAACUCACCUCAAAUCUAACCACCAAAUCUCAAGAAAAUGAUGGGUUCAAGAAAGUUGGGACAAGUUAUUGUGACUUGGUCGUUUAUAAAGAUAAAAAUUAGCCAAAAAGAUUAACCGACAAUUUUGACCCUCUAAAAUCAAGUCCGCAAGUGCAGAUAAAGAGAUUUAGUUUGAGUUUACGGUGAAAUUACAUAGAAUGCUACAAAACAUGCACUGUCGUUAGUUCAUUAACAUUUUUUAUUAACAAAUAAAUUUAGUGACUUGAACAAGUACCAGCGCAUAAUUUAGUGGCAUUUCUACCGAUCUGCUCGUCGCCAAAAUGUCCACUGACUUGAAAAUUAAAAGUUAAAUGCUGAAAACGUUUACCAUUAGUUGUGUUAUAUCAGUCAAAGUACAGUAUUUUGAUUUUUGUCCCUAUAGUUAAUGUAUUUUGCCAAUUAACCCCAGUUGUUACUAAUAUUUAUCGAAGAGCCUUGUAUCAAAGGAUCUUUUAAAAAAUGCUCGAGUCCAGUCAUAAUAUAAAGGUUGUAAAUCGUAUUUCCUAUGAAUAAGUAUAAAAUAACAAUUCAUGGCCGACGAGGAUAGUGGUUCUAGAAAUCCUAGAUAAAGCAACGAAAAUUUUUCAUACAAGAUAAUAUAUCGUACUAUUAUCUAGUUUUAAUACGUGAUUAUAAUGGAUCACAUACAUUAAAUAUUUAAAUCUAAUAUUCCUAGAUGAAAAAAAAAAUUGUAACAUGGUCGCGAAGGAUCUUGGACCAUUCAGAAUACGUUUGAGCAUACGCCAGUAAAUGUUCUGGCAAUAAUGAGAUGCCAACACAGGAAAAAGAAUUUUUGGGAAGUAAUGUAAUUCAACCUUGUAACAUCAAGGUUCAGUUCAGAUUUUAUCAAACAGAGAUCUACAACGCCCUACUCAUCAUCUCUCCUGCUCCGAGAAAGCAUCUUCCAAUUAACCCAGGAAUGACAGGGGAUACAACUUACAACGUGAUACAACAACAGUAGGUUAUUACAUUACAUCCGACUUCUCAGAAGAUGCUAACACCAAAGAAAACUAGUUGCCUAGCCAAGAUUUCAUCCAAAGUAACACCAAAUGACCAAUUAUUAAAAGACGACGUUCACGCGUGAAAGCCAAAAUUUGAUUUUGCUUAGGAAGUUACUAACAGAAAGAUAACAUGUUCUAUUACGAUCACCAUCUUCUAUAACCUUUUACUCUCCCAAUACAACCAUAGCACUGGCAACGAGCAUCAAAUCCCUCUCUUCAGCUGCUCUUUGAUUUGUCUGAUAUCCCUUGUCAGCAUUCUCGGUGCUAUGGCCAUUGACAUGAGCUCUUGGAACAGCAGUUUGCAGGCAUAUGGAAUGUGAACCUGAGAAUCAACCAAAAUCAAACACAAACAUCUCAGGCUCAGGCACCCAUUAAAGCAUACGCACAACAAUCUAUUGUUCGUGUGUGAUUGGGUCUAUGGUAAGGGGGCUUCAUAAGAAAAGUAUGGGGGCUACGGAUUAUUGAUGGAAUUUAACAAAGAAUGGCAUCAAACUGGUGGUAGUUAUUACCUGGACUAUGUCAGUUUUGUUCUUGCAGCUUCUGCACUCAAAAGAAUUCUUCUUCAAGUUUGCAAUCGCAAUCAACCCACAACGCUCACAAACAUGGACCCUGUAUGCAUCACUUUGGUCAAACAAUCUUUCCUUGAGAAAGUGAGCGGCACCAUGGGCGAUCAUGCAAUCUCUCUCCAUCUCUCCAAAUCGGAGACCACCAUCACGUGAUCGCCCUUCCGCUGGUUGCCUGGUGAGGAUCUGAACUGGGCCUCUCCCACGAGAAUGGAUUUUAUCAUCAACCAUGUGCUUCAGCCUUUGGUAAUAAGUAGGCCCAAGGAAAAUAGUGGCCGUUAAAGGUCUCCCAGUGUGACCAUUAUACAUUCUUUCAAAACCACGCAUCUGGUAUCCACAUUUGUGCAGGGCUUUACUGAUGUUAUCUACAGUGACAUCAGUAAAAGGCGUAGCAUCUCCCUCUUUUCCCAUGUGCGCAGCAACCUUACCCAUGAUACACUCAAUCAGCUGACCAAUUGUCAUUCGAGAAGGAAUAGCAUGGGGAUUUACAAUAAUGUCAGGGGUUAUUCCUUCAAUAGUGAAUGGCAUAUCUUCUUGAGUGUAGGUCAUGCCUACAGUUCCCUUCUGACCAUGCCUACUGCUAAACUUGUCUCCAAUUUGCGGAAUGCGAACAGAUCUCACCCUCACUUUAACAAACCUCAAACCAUCAGCAUUUGUUGUGAGUAGGACCUGAUCCACCAUACCAGUCUCACUAUGGCGCAAACUUGUGCUAUGAUCACGCUUGGUGUAUCGAGUAGCUAAUGCUGAUGGAACCUGAGCAUCAUCCUGAUGAAUAGGAGUGGUCUUCCCAAUGAUCACAUCCUCACCUGAAACUCUCGUUCCUGGUGGGGCGAGACCAUCAUCAUCCAAUUUAUCAUAAGAACCAUGUCGCAUGCCCAUGGUGUUAGACCUAUCUGGGCGCCCGAAGUCCUCUUUGACUAAAGUCCCCAUCUUCUUCUCCUCAUCUCUGUACGAUCGGAAAAACAGAGAUCGAAAGAAUCCACGAUCAACAGACGACUGAUUCAUAAUGACAGAAUCUUCUUGGUUGUAUCCAGAGUAGCAAGAAAUGGCAACAAUUGCAUUGAUGCCAGCAGGUAGUUGCCUGAAGUGCAAGUGCUCCAUGGCUCGAGUAGUAACAAGUGGUUUUUGAGGAUAAUAUAGCACAUAGGCCAAAGUGUCCUGAUGCAAAAAAGGAGUGAGUAACCAUAAAGUAUACAUCAACUGAUGUAACAGAAAACAUGGUGAAUAAAGAUCAAAAUUCUACCAUGCGAAAUUGGUAGUUUGUGACAUAUAUUCCCAUCGCUUGCUUACCCAUGGCAGACUGAUACGUGUUACGAGGAGACUGAUAACCAAAAAAAAAAAGGUUAGACAACUCAAAUAAAUAGCAAUAAUACCUUCAUUAACAUACUAUUAGGGGAUAAGAGUAGGCUCACCUGAUUGUGGUCAGGGAAUGGUAUAAUUGAAGCACAAACACCCAAAAUGAGUGAUGGGUGAAUCUCACAAUGCGUAUACGUAUCAGAAUAGGCCUCCUCAGGAUUCAGCCUCGCCGUUACAAGAUCCUUGAACAAUUAGCAUUGACAUUUCAACAUCUCAAAUUAUCUUAAGACAAUGAUUGAGAGAGAGAGGGAGAGAGAAAGGGAGGGAGGGACAGAGAGACUCAAGUUACUAACAUUAAUGGUCAUUGAAAUCAUAGUGGUUUCUUCUUCUUCAGUGUCGAUGUAUUCUAUGAAUCCCUUGGCCACAAGGUCAUGCCAGCCACCUUCUUCUGGGGACUCCUAUAAAAGAAUAAGCAGGUCAUGAUAUAAGCAGAAACAUCAGAAGCAUAAGCAAAGAAUAGAGGAAGAAUUCAGGAUCAAAAUGAAUGUACCCUUGCUUGCAAGGCUUGAAUAUCCUUCUUCUUAAUCAGAAGCCUUUGCUUUUCCACAAUAAAUAAUGGACGACUGCAGCGGCCAUAAUCAGUAUAGAUGCGCAGUUCCUUUAAACGAAUAUCACGAACUACACCAACCUCUGUGUUAACAUCAACCUGUUCAUCCAAAAGAAGUAAAAUAAUUAACACUCUGUGUGACAAACAGCACAAUUUGAAUAAUGCUUAUUCAAAUUAUGAAUGCUGGAAAUUAUGUUGCUGUAGUCUACACAUGGAUGGGAAAAACACGAUCCAGUAACUACUUAAAAGAAAAAUUUGCUAUGUUUAUACAAAAACAUGUUAACUAACCCAUAAAGAAGUGAACAGAUAUUCUGAAGCCAAUGCUAAUUAACUCCACUAGCACCUUAUAAAGGUUUUUCUUUUUUAAGUCAAUUUCAACACCAUUGUGAAAGAUGGCUUUUCUCAAAUUAAACUUCCUCAAUUGAUGAUUUGGCACCUUUCAUUCUACACUGUGAUGCAGACAUCUAAAAAAAUAUGAACAUCGAGUAGCUUAACCAAUGGUAUAAGUCCAUUCAAUAAGAUAGUAAAUCAUGAGGCUGCACACAGAUAAGCGCUACAAAAACUACAAAACAUGUCUCAGCAAUCAUGCCUAAACAAAGGACAGUUAAAAAAGAGACAGAAAAUCCAUCCUCACCCGUCUUCUCAGACGCCUCAGGGUCCUGACCAACAUAUCAGGGUCACGGUGGAUACCAACCCAACAACCAUUGACAAAGAUUUUUGUAGCUUGUGGAAUGACUGCAGGUGAAAUUUCCUACAACCCAAAGGGCAUGCCUUGAGAUCAGUGGUCAUAUAGAAAAUUCAGUCUUCCAAAGAUGUAGAGAUUUCUCACCUCAAAAUUCUCAGUUCCCCAUUCCUCCAAAAACUCCAGAAUGGGAUAUGCUGCUGAACCAACUGUUAUGUACACCAUCAAAGCUAGAUUCUUCACAAGUCCACACGCCUGAUAAGACAGCAAGGGAGAUCAAAUAUGUGGUUUAUCAAACAAUCAACAUUUGGCAAAAUGGGGAAAAAAGAAGCAAAUGAACUGCAACAUGUCAAAAAUUCUCUCAUCAGCAGUGUACUCACCUGUCCUUCAGGCGUUUCUGCUGGGCACAUCAUUCCCCACUGCGAGUUGUGCAAUUGCCUUGGUUUGGCCAGUUUCCCUAUAAUCAAGAACAAUCUCGAUCAAAGACAAUCAAAGAAAAUACUAAACUUUAACUGCAUGCCUAUCACCAAUCUUUCCUUUAGUAUUUUAAUUAGUAUUUUAACUUAGUCCCUACUGUCAUCAAUCUUGUGCAUUCAUGACUCAGUGAGAGAGGAGGAUAGAGAGGUCAUGCAAAUCCACACAUCUCAAUCUUUACUGCAUGACUAGAUGAAACGUACACCCAAAGGAGAACCAUUGGAAGAAGAGAGAGGGGGUGGGGGGCGGGGGAGGGAAGACAUUCACCUUCACGCCCUAUUGGAGAAUUUAGCCUCCGCAAGUGUGAUAAAGUUGAGGCAUAAGUCAAACGAUUUAACACCUGCAGUUUUCCAUUUCAUUCAAGUUAAUACCCACUGCAUCCCUAGAUUAAUGAAUGACAUGUAGAAAUCUAAAAAUAAACCUGUGAAACACCAGCCCUUGUACCCGCUGCAUUUGCUUGCCCCCAGUUACCAGUGGCAAGUGAGUAUUUAAGGCCACUGGUUAUAGUUUUUGCUUUGAUUGCAAAUUGCAGGUUAACGUCUUUUCCGUUGUCAACACACUGUAAACAAUGAAUAACAUAUUAAACAAGAGCCAAUGAAAAUAAGCAUCAGCAUAACUUAAGAGAAGAGUCUGCAUUAAGUACCUUCUGAACAUAAGCUCUGACAUCCCUGGUUAAUUUUCUGAACAGCUGCACCCAUGCAUAGACAUCUGAACUUAGUAACAGCCACUUUCAAAAGUCAAUUGAAUUAAAGAACAUCAUGAUCAAUUACAAACCAUUCUAAACAGGCCACCAAGCAAUGGACCAGCAAGAUCCAGUCUUUUGUUUCCAUAGUGGUCUCUGUCGUCUUCUGCCCUUCGGCCAAGUGCACACAGCAAAAGCCGAUGGAUGAUGUAGCUGUUAGGUGCAAAAAUUUGUUUAUCAUAAUAAAGGUAUCACCUCCAAAUACAGUUAUGUAACAAAUUCAAUGCAAGGCAUACCCAAAAUAGUAUGCUUUCUUUGUUUCACAGUAUUCUCCAACCCCAACAUGUGGAAGCAUUUCUUUCUGAAGAAUCUCUUUAGCAUACCUGUAAGUAGAUGAAAAAACAUUCUCACAUGCAAUUCAAGUGGAGAAGCUAGGCAUUACUUGAAUCAAUGACAAACAAUUCUCGAGCACAUACUUAAUCCUCUUUUCCCUUGUGACGCCAACAGUAGCUCCUCUUUUUCCAAUAUAAUCCAGGGCAACCUGCAGCAAAUAACAUAAUUUACCAGACUGAAACAGGAAAAAGUGCGGACUCGUAAUUUUCCAAAUUCUUAAGCCUAAUAAGAAAACAUGCAAAUGGCACACAAACAUGAACCAAGAGAAAAAAGAAAAUUAAUGCAGGGUACCAAAUUGGUUUAAAUUGCUAAACAGAAAUUCAUUAAAUAUAUCAAAGUCUUGGAAGAAACUGUUGCCAACUCAAACCCAGUCACAUGUGAGACACGUCCGAUUGGAAUUUUUUCAAACAAAGGGGGAAGAAACAAUUGUGAUAGAAGGAAUACUUGAAGAGCUAUUAUGAUCAGUGGAACUCGAAGUAUCAUACAUGCACUAAACAUACUAAAAGAGAAAAACCAGAAAACUUAGAGAAGGCAGGCAAAAUCUACAGAGCUUGAAGCCCUACAAGGAGCCUACCUGUUGAUUUUGUAUAACAAAUGCUUCUUCCAAGGAUGGACGAAGCAACUCCAUCAUUUGGGUAUCAGAGAAAUCAUAGCAAAUAUGUUCCAGUAUAUCUUUGUCAGCAACAAACCCCAAUGCUCGAAAAACAAUAAUGAUAGGAAUUUCUGUUCGGAUGUAUGGAAGGGUAGCACGUAUAUACUGGCCUGAAGCACCCUGCAAUUACCCCAACUAAUUAGCAACUCACUGCCACUUCUGCAGAGAAAAAGUCCAGCAAAUAAAUGAUAAACUUUGGUUCUGCAUAUACCCCUUUGGCACUAGACCGAGAAAGCAUUCGCACAAACAUUGUGCUGGGAGGUCUAUUCUGUGUCUCGGCCAUGGACCGGACUUCUGCCACGUAUGCAUACUUGUUGGGUUGCCUCUUUUUGAACACAUAGACGUGAUUAGUGCUCAUUUUCUCCUGAGCAAUCAGAACCUUUUCACUUCCGUUGAUGAUGAAGUACCCUCCUUGAUCAUAUGGGCACUCUCCAAGCUCAGUAAGAUCCUUUUCUGAGUUCUGGAACAAUGUACAGUAACUCGACCGGAGCAUUAUAGGGACCUGUUCAAACAAAUAAGACAAGUAUACAUUAAAAAGCAGAUGAUUGAUUUCCCAGAGAUCAUAUCAUUAUUCUCACCCCUCCCCAGGCACCAAAAGAAGAGUUUUGGGGAUUGGGGGAAGCUGUUGGAAAGGCAAAGUGAAAAACUGCACCUUCCCAAUGAAGACUUUCCCAAAAUCCUGAGUCUCAGUAACUUCCUCACCAUCAUGCCCUUUCUUAAUGACUCUCUUCAUCACGUCCACAUACAAGGGGGCCGAAUAUGUCAGAUUCCUAAGCCUUGCAGCCUUUGGAAACAAUGUUGCAGUUUCUCCAUCUGACUCCGUCAUCAUGGGCUUGCUCAGAUAUAUCUGGCCAAAACUGAUCUUAUACACAGUCUGCAAAAGCAUGAUGAACAAAGUUAUGACCAUUUACGUCCAAGUAACUCUCAGCUCAGUCCUUCAAUCAGCAACAUAGUUAUCAACUGGAGAACAAGAAAUCAAGAGAAAAAUUGUUUGAUAUCCUCUACUUUACCCAACCCCAUAAUUGCAGAAAAAAAUGGAAAGCACUAUAAAAGGAAAAUAUUCUAUACCCGAACUUAGAAAAUUAAAUCACCCUGUAAUUUUUAGCUCCUUUAAAGUUUAUAAAACAUUCCCAUAAAACGCUAAUAAGAGUUGAAGAUCCCUUUCAUUUCCCUUAAACCACAGAAGCUACUCUAAGUGCAAAGUUGUUACUAGCUCAUGUUUUCUUGUUUCCAUUCAAUUUAACUCACUUAACCAUUUCAAUUCCACAGAAUUCGUCUAGUACUAGGAUCCAACCGCUCUGAUUGAUGAGUUAUUAUUACUCAUACAAAAUGUCAGCUUCAUAUACAAUCCAAAACUUGACAAUUCCGACAGCAACCGAGCACUAAUUCAAACGCUCCCUAACAAAACCCUAGAAAAUCUUCCUCUGCAGCCACGCCCAGUGCAGAUUGCACAUCAAAGACUCCUUAUCCUUUACUUUUACUUCAUUCAAACCCUUGAAUUCACUAAACACAUGCCGUAAACCUCAAAUUUGAUACUCCAAUCCAUUACUCAAAAGACAUCCUUCAAGCCGCCAAAAAAAAACCCUAAGCAAAACUCAACUGAGGAAUCACCGCCAAUUUUUUUCAAAAUUACUUCUGAAAAACAGAGUCAGAACUGCAUUAUUACCCAAUUGUCAAGUCAUCUUUAUCAAAUUUAAAAGUUAGUCAUAUUCGAGCAAGUUCUCGACCUCAGCGAAAUCGGACUGGUGACCCGGAUUGUGCUGGGACUCAGGUCGGAUCUCAAUAUCCGCGGAUUCAUCGACGAUUUCUUGCAUUGUGUUCUGAAUAAAUUCAUCGAAGGAGUCCAGCUGCUGUCUCACUAAUCCCUUCUCCUCGAAGUAAGCACUGAUCACUGCCCAAGCAUCCUCUUGGGUAAUCUCCUCCUCCUCGUCGUUGUACUGAUUAUCCUCGUACUCGUCUUCCAUAUCCAUAUUAUUUGACUUGGUAGUUCUCUUCAAUUCAAAAUCAGUAAAACUUUUAGCGACAGUGGACGCCCGAUCCGGGUUGGUUUUUGGGUAGAGAGAGAAAGGUCCGAAGAGAGUCCAACGAGGAGGAGAGGAGGAGGAAAAUGAGUUGAAAAAUGGGGAGAAGGUGGCUUAUAUCGGGAGGGAAAGAACUGGAAACCGGGGCAAAUCAGGCAAGUCGGCGAGGAAAAUAUUUGGGGGAUUUAACCUUUUUUUUUAACUUCAACGAGUGAUUCGAACCCAAUUUUUCUUUUCCUUUUUUUUUGUGGAUUUGAGAUAAAGAUUUUUCUUCGUACUUAUAUAUUAAAUUGAUCCCUUUAUAUAUGCAUGUAUAUAUAUAUUUAUUGAGAAAGUGAAACUACAUGGAAUUCUUCUAUAUUCCUAUAUUUUUGGAAAAUUGUUAAAAAUGUAUUACAUAGAACAUAAUUAACAUAUAGACAAACUGAACAAUGGUUAUGCUUUUCACCCUUUUAUUUAUUAGUUCCCUCAUAACAUUAUACAAAGUAAUGCAAAAUUGAAGAAUGUGCACUAUUUUCUUGUAGAUAAAGUGGAUUUUACAUGAUGAAAAUUGUUUUUUAGAUUUUAGUUAAUAUAUUGCAGAAAGACAUAGAAUUGUGAAGUUUUGAAAAUUUAAAAUUGGGCUUUUCUUGUAUAAAAAUAUAGGUGGCCUUAUUUUUUUUGUUCAUUUUCGAAAAGUAUUCGUUUAGCGUCCACAUUUCUUGCCACCAAAGUUCCUAACUUCCUAUAUUAGAUUUGUCAAGCUUAACCACAAAAUGUCCUUAUUUGAAACAUUUUCAAAAGUUUGAGGGUUGAAAAGCUAUAAGCCCUGAAGUUGCUCUGUACUUGGAAUAUUGAAUACACUCAAACAAAAUUGAUUUAUCAAGCCUGUAAAAUUGUAGCUAUCAAAAUUUUGAGAAUGCACUUUUUUUAAAAGCUAAGAAGCAAACUUUUUUUUUUUUGAGGGUACAACAAAGUUUUCAUUCAUUCAAAUCAUAGAUUACAGAUUUAAUAAACGAAGGAGGGAAAUCAUCCCACCAAACAGUUGAGAAAAUUUUGCUAAAACAUGAGCUAACAAAUUUCUAAUUCUACAAACAUGGGAGAUUUUACAACAUCGAAAAAUUUUAUUAAGUAUCCGGGUCUUGUCCGAUAGAUUACUAAAAUUAGAAAAAUCACUUCAUGGCAAAGCUUGGCAAACCUAAAUUUGGAUAUAACUAUUUAUGUGAAAUAUCUGAAUUAUAAUAAUGAUCGGAAUCGAAUUCAUUCAAACUCUUAUAUACUAUAUACCGAAUAAAGAAAUAUCUGAAUUGUGAUUUAAAAAAAAGUUUUGAAUUGGGGCCCCAAGAUGUCCAGUCAUGCUACUGUUCAUGUUUCAACUAGAUCACUAAAAAGUACUUGGAAAAUAAUAACCAAAAAGCAUGGUGAAUUUGACGUCACACAUUCACAUUUUAGGCCUCUGAGAGUAAUUGGGCGCAGGUCUAUUUUGUAUGGAUAGAGUUUCUUAUCUACGUGUCAAAGCCCAAAACAAACAUCCGAGCCCGUCAUUGCAGAUGGAUAAGUAAAAGCGUCAAACUGGUCCAGAGGGCCAAGUGUCCGGAACUCAAACUUCUUGUGCUUCUGGUAUGAACACAGGAUCACCAAGUUGAAGUCCAACGUAUAAUCAUUUAUGACGAUUUUUUUUUUUAUUUUUUUUAGUGUAAGUGCGAGGAUUCAAACUUGAAACCUCUCAGCUUUUCCAUAUCAUCCAAUCUAUUCCUUCCCCGUUUGGGAUGAGUAUAUUUUGCGAACAAAGGCAAAAGAGAUAAAUAUUAUUAUACUUGGAUAGUUGCACACUUGCACUAAGGUAUUUCCUUCCUUUUUUUUUUUUCUUUUGUGUGGUUGUAGAAGCAAAAGAAAUUUGUAUGUCAGACCAAGAACUAAAUAAGAAUUUAAAUUCAUGAAUGAGCUAAAAAUAGUGAAAAUUUUGAAUUAAUGAUGCGUUUAAUAAAACUGAAUUCUGAAAUUUAAAAGCUGAAGUCUGAAUUCGUUAAAUUAUUGAAUUGUCAAGUACUAAAUCUGAUACAUUUAAGUAUAUAUAAUGUUAAAUAAUAAGUUAAUGACUUAUCACUUAUUUUGAGAGCAAGUUUUGUUUAGAAAAUUCACUGUCAUUUAAUUAAUUCAGAUAUUCUAUUUUUUGUUAUCAAACACGUCUGAACAUAUUAAGAUCUAAACCUAUUAAGUUUAAGUGCUGAAUUAGGGGUCCGUUUGUUUCGGGUGAAAAUAUUUUCCAGGAAAAUAUUUUCCUAAUUUUUCAUGUUUGGUUGCACAAAAGUUACUGAAAACAUUUUCCUAUGUAAAAUAUUUUCACUCAUCUUAUGGAAAACAACUUUCCUUCCAAACUUACUGAAGUUGUUUUCCGAAAUGCGUGCAUCCCGCCUGUAGUAUGUUCCAAACUUACUGAAAACAUCUUGUAGUAUGUUUUUUUUUUUUUUGAGUGUAAACAGGAGGACUCGAAUCCAAGACCUCUUCCUUACAUUCCCUCCCCCCUACCACCCAACCCAACCCAACCCUCCCCUAGUAUAUUCAAAAUAAAAAAAAAAAAACCUCAUCCUGCUUAUCCUAUGUUAGUAAUCAAUUAUGUAUAAUAGGGACAUUCUUUUCUAGAGAAACUUUCAGCAGUGAGAAUGCAAGAUAUAUGUCACAAUAAGCAUUGCAUGUGAUUGAUAUUUGACACUAAAUGGCCAGCAAUUUGUUUAUUGCUUAAGGAGAUAUUUUUUAUUCAUAUAUACAUUUCUCCAAGAUUUUUUAAAGUUAAACAAUGAGAUAAAUUUUCUUAUUUUGCAUGGGAAGAAGUAUGUAGUUAUAAUGUGUAGAAAGUAAAGAUAGAGAUAAAAGUGAAAAUAUUUCAAAAGUUAAACAAAUACCAGAAAAAUGAAGUAAGAAAAUAUUUUCAAUAAACUAACCAAACACCUGAAAAUGAUGAAAGGAAAAUGAUUUUCAUGGAAAAUUACUUCCACGGAAAAUAUUUUCCCAAGGAAAACAUUUUACUUCCAACCAAACAGACCCUAGGUUAUCAAAUAUGGCUAAGAGUCUAAGACUACUGCUUACAACCAGGGUUUCUGUUUUUAACCCAAAAAAAAAAAAUGUUUAAGUGGCCUAUUGAAUAUAGAUGGAAAAAGCUACAGGAGUACUUUUUAUUUUGGUGUAUAACCCCCUGCAGUGUCUGUAAUCACUUUGAAACUGUUAUUACAUUUUUUGUAACAGCACACGCUUGAAUCGUAAUUUCUGAGAGGUGUAUUAUAUUUGAAUUAUCGAUAAGUGUCAGUUGUCAAAACGAGUUUAUCAGGCACUGAUUUUUUCCAUCAUAGUAUUGAGUUGCAUGCUGAAUUCUAAGAAAUCCAUCAUAUUGAGUUGUAUUUAUUGUAUUUUGGAUAGUUUUUAACCUCGUCAACUUUCAACCAAAGUGAGCCAGUCUCUACCAUUGCCUUUCAUCGCGGACAGACUUAAGUGUAACAAAUCAAUGAUCGAUCAAAAUACUGGCUAUAUUCCGACUUUACGAAGUGUGUUAUAUACUUCUUAGUAAGAAAAUUGUGACUUUAUGUAUCUUUGUAUUUCUUGCAUGCAUCUUUGUUUGCCAAAGGAACACCAUGCAUGCAUGCAGAUGUCCGUAUAUAUACUGGCUAUGAAGGACAGGAGCUAUUCGAUUGAGCAAAAUGUCAACAUUUUUUUUCAAACGAGAUUAGUAAUCCUGAAGAAAUAAGAUUAAUAUAUAACUCGAUACAAUUUCUAGUACUCAGCAGUUGAUCCUAUAUAUCUAAACUGCUGUGGCUAAUCUUCAUUCAGAAUUUGCUGAGGAGAUUUGUUCUUUACUGAGGCAAGAAUAAAAACAGCCAGAACAACAUUUUACUCUACCCUUAAUUACUGGCAUUGGAAAUUUAAUAUUUUACCUCCCAAAGGGUGAUGAGUAAUGACCCUCCAGCAUUAUUAAUUAAUUUGUGAAACGUAUAUUAGACUUUCACGGAUAUGUGCACGUUAUUACCACUGAUUAGUCCCGGAAAUAAUCUGCUGGUGGGUCGUUGAGCUGUCCAUUACAAUGGCACAAAUAGUCAAAUAUUCAUUUCUCAAUCUAUUAAACUAAAAAAAGGUCAAAGAUCAUUCUUUAAAGUAAAUUGACCCGUCCAUAUGACGUAAGAGGCACAAGUCUUCCAUGCAACAACGUGGGAAAACUACAUUGGCACUUUAAGUAAAUUCAUUUUGCCCUUCUUCAAGUCGAGAGAGAUUGGUAAAUCAUUUGGUAAUAAUAAUGACUAUCAAAAGAUGUUUCUUUUGGUAAUUGUGUUUUAAUUAAGUUAAAAUGAUAAAAGCUUAUCAAAAUUUUUGAUGUACCUUAACACUGAUAACAAUUAAAAGAAUGAACAAUACUCCUAAUUAAAGUCUACUAUAUUAUAUGUUCUUGUCUAGAUUAUACAAAAUGAUCAAUAUUGAAAAAUUUCUGAUGUAUGGAGUCCGAUCUAGUACUCUUAGAAAAUGACCCUUGUUGAGUCGUCUGAUGAUUUAAUCAAAUUGUGGUGCAAAUGGUAGUCUAUACACCCAUUAGGUUACCAAGAACGCGACCCUAGAAGACAAGUCUACCACCCUCGUAUCUGCCUUUCCUAACUCCGGCGGUACACCUCUUGCUAUCCACCCGUCUUUUUCAGUAAAUUAUAUAUACUUGUCCUUGACAUCAUAUUUUAAACUUCAAUCUCCUUCAUUUGAACUAGAAAAUUGCAAAAAUUGUUUCCUUGCCUCAGUCGAUCGAUCCAAACUACAAUCCUUUCCAGAACACCAUCUCCCAACUGACUGAUUUUCCUCUCUGAAGCCAGGCCUGUCUUGAUGACUUUGGCUAAGAGAGUCCCCAUCUUUCUGCUCAGGCUCCUGGCCUUGGGAGCUUCGGUCACUGCAGCAGUUGUGAUGGUUUCAGCACGUGACUCUGCUCAAGUCUUGAACGUGACCUUUGAAGCAAACUAUACCAAUUCACCAACUUUCAAGUAAGGGACUCUUUUUCCUUCUUUUAUUUUUGUGUUUAAUUCUUUCUGUACAUGCAACUGAGGACUAAUGGAGAGAGGGAGAAAUGUUUUCAUAUCCCCUCCUUGUCAGCCUGGUAUACAUUAAAUGCUCUACCAGUGACAACUGAGCUAGCCCAUCGAAAGUAUAUUUAUGAAAUCAAAAUAUGUUUGGAUACAAGAUUAUUUGAAAAAAGUUUUUUUGAGAAGAAUAUGGCAGUAAUUAUUGUGAUCUGAUGCACGUAAAAUAAAGUACUAAUUGAUAAUUGUGUUUAUGAUGCAACAAAAAAAAUUUUACAAAAAAGUUAGCUAUCCGAAAACCCCAAAUUGUUAUGGCUUUGUAACAUGCUGUUAUCUUCUGGAACAGAUACUUUGUGAUCAUAAAUGCAGUGGCAGGUGGCUAUACCCUCAUAGUACUGUUCUGUCCGUCUAAGGUUUCACUGUUCCGAUUCUUGUUAGUCUCAGAUUUGGUACGUGAUUAUCUUCUUUCUCUUCUCUUCUCUUCUCUUCUCUCAUGAUCGAUUACUGGCCGUUAUGGUAAAAUAUUGCCUUCUGAUCUUUCUUGCAUUUAUAUAGAUUGUUACGCUGUUGUUGGAUUCAAGCGUUUCAGCUAAUAUAGCCAUCGGUCAAGUGGGAAAGCAUGGGAACUCGCACGCUGGCUGGUUACCUAUCUGUAAUCAAGUUCCAAAGUUUUGUAACCACGUUGCAGGAGCUCUUAUUGCUAACUUUGUGGCUUCUUUAGCGUAUUUAGUUAUUCUUCUUUACUCUCUUCACAUUGUCCUCAAUCUUCCCAAACCUUAAAGGUUUAUGUCCUCUAGCUCUUAUGGAGAUUUUGUCUUCUUCUUUUCUUUUCUUUUUUUUCUCUCCUUUUGCUUCAACAUUUGCCCUUCAAACUUCUAUACAGUAGAUGUCAUUAUCCAUCAAUGAAUACGACUAGAUAAAUGGCUGCUUGAAUUAGCACGCAAUAACGUAUUGUGUCAUGUAGAAAGGAAUUGAGAUCCUCGUAUUAUUGGACAUUUUUUGGUUUCAAGGGAUGAAAAGUCUGUCUUCAUUGUCAGUUUGUAACUCUCUCUUCCCGUAGGAAAUGAAUGGAUGAUGCUAAUGUGCAAUUUGAAUUUGUUCAACUUACUUGUGCGAUUUGGUUUAGUUUUUUUUUUUUGUUUCCUUAAAAUCCAAUAAUUAUUUUAGUUCUUCUUUUGUUUUCUUAAAAUUCAAUAACUAUUAACUGAGUAAUACACAAAAUUUAACAAAUUUAAAAAAUCAAAAUGCAUAAAAAAUGAGAUUUUUUUAAUGAAUUUUCUGCUAUAUUUUUUAAUUUUCUAUGACAUGUUACUUUUUAAAAUUAUUGUAUUUAUUUUUUACUAAGUUAAUAGUUAUUGAAUUUUUAAAAAAAUUAAAAAGAACUAAAAUACGAUGUCCUUGAAAAUGAAAUUACAAUAUAAUAAAAUGUGAGACAAACGGUAGCACAAGAAAUGAAACAGAAAAUCCGUUUCAUACGUUGCACUAAUCUCAACAUAAGACUAACGUUGCUAAAAGCCUAUCAUUUGCAUAUUUACGUCUGCCGUGUGUAUGAAGAUGUGAUCAUUCAAAUAGACAACUAGCAGAUCAACUGAAGCUCUUACUGCUAAACGUUCUCAAUCUCAAUUUGACCAUGUUUUAUUUCAAACAUCUUAGAAGACUUACUUUGAUUAUCCAAGGACUCGAUGUUUCAUAAGUUGCUCGUUGAAUCGAACCAUAACAACAAAACCUUACUUGUGCUCGAUAGUUCUGUCAAAAGUUUUUUUUUUUUUUUUUUUUUGUUUUUGGGAAUGUCCAGAGAAUUUAUGCUUUUUGUAAAAAUAUGUAAACAUCUCUUGUUGUACAUGAUUGAGUGUACAUGAACUUCAAAUACUUAUUAUAUAGAGAAUGACAAUAUAUAGACUAUCACGGUUGAAUAUAUGACAUAUAUAUAUAAUUUAUAUUUUAAAUUCAAAUUUAAAUUAGUUAUCGUACAUUCACUAAAAGAUUAAUUUCUAAAGAAUACUUGAAAAUAGAGUAACAGUGCAACCGUGUAAGUAACAGGCGAGGUGCCCGGAUCAUGACUUUUCUAGAUCCAGGACAGCAAAUUUUAACGGGGCCGAUCUUGGGCCGAAUUGGGUGCUUUCGUAUGGACCGAAUUCAGGCUCAGCAAAGCUCCUCUAACAAAACCCAGUAUCAGGCCUGUAUUAUUAUUAUUAUUUUCAUUUUUAACAGCAAGGGCAAUAAUAUUAGAAUUAACUUUUUUAUGCAUUGACAAUAUAGUAAUUUUCUUACAAUAACAAUCUUGGAUAUAUGUUAUAUGUAUAUGAUUUGAAUUUUAAUUUUGAAUUCAUAUUAUAUGCUUGUGCAAAAAAACUUUAUAUUGAUACUGACAGUGUACAAAAAAAUUAUCCACAAUACUAACUUGGGUUGCACCUAGAGCACACCCCAUCGAGUUUUGGAGAGUAAAAGGUAAAAAAUCUCUCCCGUUUGAAUUGCUAUUUUUUGAAUUUUUUUAUAAAAAAAUGUAUCGUAACGAUUUGAUAAAUUAAAAGAGUGACUAAAAAUAGAUUCACGAAAAACUUAAUUUUUUUUUUGAGAGAAAAAAACAAUCCAUAUCUUUUGUUUUUAUUACUGUUCCAAUCUAAACUGCAAACAUCUUAGACUAAUGUACUUUCUCGGCCGCAGAAUUCAUGCUAAAAGUGAAGAAUGAUGAUAAUUAACGAAGAUCUUGCUAGAGUGAAAAUUUGAGCUUCUUUUUUUUUAAUUUAAUUAACGAAGCCUAUAAAAACAUUACAAGAUGUUUUGAUAAAGGAAAAGGAAUUUGAGCUUCAAAUCAUCCAUUUUCUGAUAUUGAGUCCUGGCUCGAUUUCGCUUCUAACAAAACAAAAGGCAGUCAAUUUUCUAUCUUAGUGAGUCCGACCGAAAGGAAGGGCAGAAUCUACCACUUGCCCACCGCAUAUCCAAUUUGUCCAUGUCAAAUCCCAAAGAAUCGAGGCAGCGGUGACAAUUGUCAGGGGGUAAAGGUACCCCGCUAAAAUCAGCUUUCUGCAGUUACGCAGCGCAAGUGACCUUACCAAAAAUAAAGAGAGUCCAAAUGAAACUCCCACCACAAAAAAUUCAAUACAGCCAACUAUUAAAAUGGUUAAACGGACCAUGCCAGCCAUAAUAUCUAUCCAGUGUCCCUUCACUUCUUCUUUCUGGGAUGUGUUACCUAAGAGGGCAUUAACAGAAUUAACUAAAUAUUCUAGCACUUCCACCUGGAGAAAGAUCAGUAAGGAAAGAUGAGUUGUAGAACAGGAGCACUCAUAACCACCAGUCAUUUUGCUUGCACUUCAAUUUUUGAUGAUUUCAAGGUGUCCACCGAGUUUCGUCGUCCCAAGUCAUGUUCAAGUGUUCGGAUUCAGUGCUCUUCUUCGAGCCCAGACCUGCAUGUUACUACUGGUAAUCCCAACUCAUUCAACUUUUCUUGUUCUCUCUUCAAAUUUGCGGUGCCUUAGAUUCAAGAUUCUGAAUUCACUGCUGUUUUUCUGCAUUCGUCAACUGAGGCUUCUGAUGCCCCUGUGUUUGUUCCUCCUGUUCUUUUUCUCCUUUCCGGACCUUCCAGUUUGCAUGACCAUAAAAUUCGUCUUAAUCUGAUCUUUGAUUAACAGAGAAAUUUGGGAAUGAUGCUUCAUUGACUGGUGGAGCAUAUGACUUCGAAAAGGCAACAACAUCCCUUACUCAGAAAUUAUUAUUUACUCCCAAGAAGGUUACCCUUGUUCGCCAUGGUCUCAGCACUUGGAAUGAAGAAGGUAGAGUUCAGGUUUGUUGGCCUUGAUUUGAAAUUCCACUUUUCUUUUAACUUUAUCUCAUGCUUCCGUGGCUUCUCUACUUCUGCUUAAGCUCAUUUUGCUCUAUCUGCUAGACUACUGGAUCAGUUGUACUGAUUUGAUUUAUAUUAAAGUAAGUUUUGUUCUGUCUUAAUUAAGAAUUCUUGGUAGUUUUAAACCUGUAAAUUCAGAGAUUAUUUGGUGUAGCACCUAGGUUGCAGAAUUCAGAUUGUCUUAUGAUAGUCUAUCUAGCUGCAAGGCUGCAACUGUAAUUCUAAAUUUAGCAAAACAUGUCAAAACAAUAAUCACAAGAAACAAACAUUAUGAUAGAGGGAAAAAGAUUGGCAAAAAUAUAUGGUAGAUGGAGUUUACAGAACAACCAUGAAUACAGUGCAUGUAUAUCCUUUAAAACUCAGUAGCUAUAGAUCCCUGAUCUCAUGUGAAUGUGGUAUACUUUGUUGUAUUAGUAAAAUUCAAUUUGCGGGCCUAACGACAAAAAUCAUUUGCUUUACUGUUGUUCCAGCAUAAUUGCCUAUUCACUAUUUCUGAUCAGCUAUUGCCAUUGUGUUGCUUUAGGGAAGCUCAAAUCUCUCCACUUUAACUGAAACUGGAGUGGCUCAAGCAGAGAGGUGCAAGAAAGCAUUAGUUGAUACGCACUUCGAUCAAUGUUUCUCCAGUCCAAUAUCACGUGCCAAGGUCCAAAAAAUAAGAUUUAGUUUGUAUUUUGUGUGUGCUUCAGCGGAUGAUCCUAUCCCUUAAUUGCCACUCUGUAAUGCAGUCCACAGCUGAAAUUAUAUGGCAAGGUAGGGAGCAGCCUUUGGUUUUUCUUGAUUCGCUGAAGGAGGCCCAUCUAUUUUUCCUCGAAGGGAUGAAAAAUGGUCAGUCUUCUUUUGUUUUGGACGCGUUCAUUCCUUUCCUAUUUGUGAAUUAAUUGAGUUUGUCCAUAGAUAAGAUACGAGUCAUUUAUAACUUUGAUGUAAUGCUUCACUAUAUAUUCCUCUGCAAUAUUUUUCAUUUUCCUAAAUCACAUUUAGUAUCUGGAGGCAGUGGAUGCUUUGCGGAUGUAUCCAAAGGAGUAUUCAACAUGGAGAGAAGAUCCAUCAAAUUUUAUUGUGAAUGGUGUCUAUCCAGUUCGGAAACUUUGGGACACAGCAAGUGAUGCUUGGAAAGAAAUCUUACUUACGCCUGUAAGAUUCUUGUAGUUGCUGUGCAUUUCUAGUUAUUGCACUGAGAUCUGCAUUGAUUAUCUUUCUGAAAUUUUCUUGGCUGUGUGGUUUGUGAAACAGGGAGAGAAUUUUUUGGUUGUAACGCACAAAUCAAUGUUGAGAGCACUGAUCUGCAUUGCUCUUGGACUAGGCCCAGAGAGGUAUUCAUUACUUGACAAGAGUAACUUGAAUAGUCUGUUGCACCUUGUAUAAGUGACUAGUAGUAUCAAUCAUUCUUCCUCAAUAGAAUUUCUACAAGCCAAAGUCCUUGCAGGAUGGGGAUAAUGUCUCACAAUCUUGCGUGAAAUGUCUUCUUAUGUCAUGUCUAUCGUAUUUUGCAAGAUACUGCCUGCCCUUUUAAUAGCAUUUUUACCUUUCAACAGUUUUGAGUAACUUGACUCAUUCAGCAGUUCCGGGUUAACUGCUUUGCAUUCUUUCAGGUUCCGUGCGGUCGACAUAAAUAACGGUGGGCUAUCUGUGUUCAACUUCAACAAACAAGGGGAGGCAAUGCUUCAAUCAUUAAAUAUGACAGCUCAUAUGUACACUGAUCACAUCUACAGGUAUCAGAAAAAAGUGAAAUGAAUGAAGUAAUUGAACAGAAACAAGACCAUAAUCUACUAGCAAAGUUGUUGAUCAGAAAAAAGCCAAGUUAUCCGUGAACGUUGAUCAGAAACAAGCCAAGUUUGUCGUCCAAGAGUCUGGGAAGCAGGCAAAGAGUAAGAAAGAAGCUGAGAGAUUGGAAAGAGGCAGUUCCUGUAGACAGAUUUUUGAUGUCGAAUAUAAUACUAGAGCUUAGUGACCAUAUAACCUUUUCUCAUUGUACUUUCUUUUAGUCUAAUGCAAUUCAGAAGCAACAAGAUACGAGAUUUCCAAUUCACAUGCUUUCUUGCUUUACGUGAGAAGUUCUCUUUUGAUUUCACCUAGUACUUAGAAUAUUAAACUACAACAGAUUGCAUAAAUUAUGGCUUGGUGUAGUUGUAUGUGGCCGCUUUACUUCUUAUAAUGCUGUGUUCUUACAAUAUUUAGGAUAAGCACACACAAUAUACACUUUUAACAAAUAAAAAAUGAAAAUCUAUAAUGUAAAUAUACAUAAAAAUAUAGACAAAGAAGAAUAAAUUGCUAAAGUAACACCGAAUACCAUCCAGAAAUUAAUCCAACAGCACCAAGUUAAUUCAUAUUUUCAGCAUCGAGCUAGAUGUAGCUAAUUAUGUAUUCAUGAAUUACCGUAUCAAUCGCCUAUUCUACUGUUUAUCCCUGCUACAACACAUUUGGAGGAUAAAAUCAAAGCUACACGAUUAGGAAUUUGGAGACUCUGAGCCGGAUUUGAUGUGUUCUUGAAGAAGCAAAAAGAACAUAUUCAAGUUAAUGAGAGAGCCUAAAAUGGUACCAGUAUACAUUAAAAGAAUAUCUGCUGCAUCAGCCUUCCGGAAUUCAAUUGAAAGUCUUGGUGGGAGAAUGCAUGAAGAGAGACUUUCAUGUUAGUAACCUGUCCAUCUUCGCUUGAUGAAUGAAAAGCUUUCUCAGCAACCAGACACUUUUGUCUUCAAUGGAAACAGAACACUUGCACAGACUUCACCGUACCAAAUCCUUCUUAGAGCCGGCUCGCAUCUCAAACUCCUCAAACAAGUCCAUGCCCACAUCAUCACCACCGGCCGGAACCACCAUCUCCCGCUGCUCACUAAGCUUGCCACCUCAGCCAUCAGUUCUGGCGCCAUCCUGUACGCCCAGAAGCUCUUCCUCUGUGCUCCAACUGUUGACGGUUUUCUCCUCUCUUCCCUCAUCACCGCCGCCUCAAAAUCCCACUUCCCACUCCAAACCAUCCUCUUCUAUCGCCACAUGCUUGCGCGUAACAUCUCCCCUACUAACUACACAUAUACUUCUGUGAUUAAGGCUUGCGCUCAAUUACAGGACCCGAGAACUGGUAGAGUUGUUCAUUGCCAUGUUUUGACUAAUGGGUUCAGUUUGGAUCAAUUUGUUCAAGCUGCAUUAGUGAGUUUUUACUCUAAAAUUAGGGAAUUAAAAUUUGCGAGGAAGAUGUUCGAUGAAAUGCCCCAGAAGAGUAUUGUCUCGUGGAAUUCUAUGAUUUCAGGUUAUGAACAGAAUGGAUUUGCAGAUGAAGCAAUCAUGCUGUUUGCUAAAAUGAGAGAGUUAGGUGUUCAGUUUGAUUCUGCUACUCUUGUAAGUGUGUUAUCAGCUUGCGCGGACACGGGGGCACUUGAAUUGGGAAGUUGGGUUCAUGAUUAUGUGAAGAGCAGUCCGAUUAGUUUAGAUGUGGUUCUUGGUACUGCGCUGAUUAAUAUGUAUGCCAAGUGUGGGAAUGUGAGGAAAGCUCGGGGAGUUUUUGAUCUAAUGGAUGAGCCCAAUGUCAUGGCUUGGACUGCCAUGAUCUCAGGUUAUGGAAUGCAUGGUUUCGGUAAAGAAGCUAUUGAUUUAUUUCGACUGAUGAUAAAUCAGGGAAUCUAUCCAAAUGAAAUUACUUUUGUUGCUGUAUUGUCUGCAUGUGCUCACGCUGGGCUAGUCCAGGAGGGCCGUGAGGCAUUUGCUAUCAUGAAGAAUUAUGGUAUGAUGCCGGGCACAGAGCAUCAUGUUUGCAUGGUUGAUAUGUUUGGGAGGAUGGGUUUGCUCAGUGAAGCAUAUCACUAUAUCAAGGAUCUGUUUCCUUUCCAGCCAGCACCGGCAGUUUGGACUGCUAUGCUUGGGGCUUGCAAAUUGCACAAAAAUUAUGAUCUUGGUGUAGAAGUUGCUGAUAAUCUUUUUGCUGCGGAACCUGACAAUGCAGGACACUACGUUUUGCUUUCAAAUAUGUAUGCGUUGGCUGGACAGAUGGAACGUGUUGAAAUGGUUAGAAAUGCCAUGAUAAGUAAAGAGUUGAAGAAACCAGUUGGUUACAGCAUCAUAGAGAUUGAUCAGAAGGCACAUCUUUUUAGCACUGGUGGCAUGCCUCACCCUGAGAGCAUGGCGAUACUUCAAUUCUUGGACGAAUUGGUUCAGCAGAUCAAGGCAGCAUGUUAUGUACCAGUUUCUGAAGCUAUUAUGCACGAGUUAGAGGAAGAAGAGAAGGAAUGUGCCCUUAGAUACCACAGCGAGAAGUUUGCUGUAGCUUUCGGACUCUUGAAAACAAGGCAGGGGCUCGUAUUCGAAUUGUGAAAAACUUGCGAAUCUGCGAGGAUUGCCACAUGGCUAUCAAGUACAUUUCAUUAGUAUCCAAAAGAGAAAUUUGUGUUCGAGACAAGCUUCGCUUUCAUCAUUUUAAAGAUGGCUCCUGUUCUUGCAAGGAUUUCUGGUGAUGUACUGCUGGAUCAACUGUCAAGAAUUAGCAUGUUUCAGCAUAGAUUGACAUGAGAGUUACUUAUAAAACUUGUCCAAAUUUUGCCAGUUUGCUCUUACAACAAAUUUACCAACACAGAUAAUAAAAUUUGUAAUAUUAGUAGUAUUUUGGCACAACAGUUGUCAAAGGGAAUUAUUCGUAUAUGGUUGCUGGAGUGUCAAAUUUUGCCUUGACCAGUAGCUUGGUGCCUAAGAGCAGCCUUCCCACAGUGAUCUUUAACAGUAGUAGUAUAAUACAGUAUAGUAUACACCAACCACGGGAGUAUUAAUUAACAUUUGGCGGCGCCAUCUGGGAUUAUGUGGGCAAAUGCGAGUGAAGCGCGUGCGAGGACGCAGGGCGUCCCGAGUGUGGUUCAGGAGUUCCGUGGCCUCUGUAAAUUGUAAUGCGAUGUGUCAGUGGAAAGAAAAGCAGUUCGCCAGUUCACUCAGCCGAUGGACGUCUUGGCGCGACGUGUAAUGUGGAAUUUUUGGUUUAUCUGUUUCUGCUUUUCUUUGUUUUCUGGUUUAUCUGUUUCAUCGAUCAUUCGUGAUGAAAAAGAUAAAUUAGCCACUGUACAUUUACUGUUUUUGAUAGCCAGCUACUGGGAAAAAAGUUGUUUUUUUUCUUACAUCAUAAAUAUUUUUUCAUUAUCAUUUUAUUUUUCAAUCAUUAUCACUUUAAUAUCAUUUGUGUCACGUCAUAAAAAAUUUAGAAAGUUUUUUUCCGAAUAAUCUUUCAUCUACCUUUUAAGAACUGGAUUAACAAUCUUCAAUUAAGUAUUAGUGUGGUUACAUCUUGUUUUUAGCUAGAUAGAAAGCAGUUGGUACAGAACAAACUGGGAUGGUUAGGUAGAGUUGAAUUCUCACUGGUGAAGAAAAGUGUAGUUGUUUGGGGUUCUUGACUGCGUAAUUCUUUCAUCAACGGGUGUUAAUUCAUGGACCUUGAGAAAAGUAAAUUAUAAAAUUAUUUAUUAUUUAUAAUUUUAUUAAAAAAUUAGAAAAAAAAAGUUCGUAUGAAACAAAACGUAUUGUACUAUUACUAUAUUAAGAAGAAAAUUUCAACCGAAUCAUUAUUCUUUUGAGAAAAAACUUAGACGAUAAAGGACACAUAAUUGAUUAACAUGCAGAAUAAGAAAAAAUGUAAUCAAGCAAGUAAUAAGACAAUUAUGAGAUCCAAAGAUUCAAAUUAUUUGAAGUUUUACAAGAAAAAAGCCUAGUAAUUGUAAAUUAUUUGACUCUUCCUAUCUCAUUUAUUUAUACAUAACGUACCAAGGGAUCAUAUCUUACAUCUAGCACAACUAAGCAUGAGAUCCAAAGAUCAUGCUGGAAGAGCAAUGCCUACUCGGACUGUGAUUUUUUGUCGAACAAUUCUUAUAUUUUUUGUAAAUCUAUUUUCAAUCAUUUUUUCAAGUAUAUCAAAUUAUUAUAAUAUUUUUUUUUUACAAAAUUUUUUUAAAAAUAACAAUUUAAACGAGAAUUUCGCUUAACACGACGGUAUUAAUUUUGGUAUUGAAUUUUUUUAUACAAUCACCAGUCGCCAAGGGAGCAAAAAUGGCAGUAUAUUCUCCAGUCAUGUGAAGGGUCCAGUUUGGCAGCGUGCGGUCGAUUCCACACUAAAAAAACGAAUCAAACAACUUGCAAAGAUUCUCAGAGCGUCACGGAUCAUUCAUAUUGCGUGCACUUAAUUCCUUUUUAAAAUAAUUUUGUAAAUCCUCUUACCAGUGGAUGUGAUCUAGAAUUAAAAAGAAAUUUUUUUGCGUCAGCCCGUCUGAAGAUAGUCACAAGUACUUUCAUACAAGACGAUUAUAUGGUAUUUUAAUGAAAAUUCUUCUGUAAUAAUAGUGGAGUACUUUUUAAUUGAAUACACGCAUUUUGUGAGGUGAAAAAGUUAUUAUGUGCUGUUUUUACAAAAUCUUUAUCAUACAAUCAAAGACUUUUUUUAAAAAAAAAAAAACAAAAGUUACUUUUAACUAUUAUUAAUGUUAACCUUUGACUGAGAAAAGUUGCCGUUGGCUAAAUUUUAAUUUGAAGAAAUAAUUAGGCACUAGUUGUUAGGGUACAUGUGUCCGACGACUUUAUUUUGAUUUACCCAUAUCGACUAAAAGCUUUUUCUUUUGAUAGACUCGUGCUCCCGCUUAUGAUCUUUUUGUUUUUGUUUCUUUUUCCAAUUAAAAGUAUCCAGAUGUAGUAAUUUGGUGCACGUGUCUCUAUCUUCACCGGCUCUUGAUUCUUCUUGGGCUUGCGUUUGUCUUGCACUCGCAACCAUGCUUGACUCAGCAAUCAAUGCAGACACGACUCCCAAGACGGAAAGCUGCAGUGCGCAAGCAUGUAAAAGUCACGUGCUUUGUUACUGUAUUUGGUUUUUUUCCCCUCUUGAUUGAACUUUGGUUUGUUUGGACAAGAGAUUAUUCGAAAAAAUUACUUACUGUAUUUGACUGUAUUAUAAGCAUGUUUUUAAUUUAUUUUUUUAUAUUUUUAAGUAAUUUUGUCUCAAAUAUAUCAUAUCUAAAAAAUAUUAUAAUAAUUAUUUAAAAUAAUAUUUCAAAUAAAACUUUUGUUACUGAAUGUGAUAAACACGUGACUUCAAUAUCUAAGAUGGUGUAAUUUUAAGCGCAUUAUUUUUUUAAAGGUAAAAGGAUUAUUAGAGUUACAGUAAUUAUUUCAAAUAAUCUCCUAUCCAAAUACAAUGAAUAUUAUUUAUUGUGACUCUUUUUUGAUGUAAUGUAUACAAAAUAAAAAAUGAUAAAUAAGCAUAUUUUGCGAGUAAUAAAAAGAAUUUCAAACAAACCAAUCCAAUUGCUUUGCAAUAACUUAAAAAAUUAGUGAUAAAUUAUUGCGAUGUUCCUUUACCUUUAACUCAUAACGUCAUCCUAGCUUUUCCACGCCUCUAAUGUGCUACUCUAACGUUAGCACAUUCAAAUUAUCCUCGUCAGUAUAAAUUCAAACAUUAUUAACUUUUUUUGGAAUAAAAUAUUAGAAGUGCAAUCAAGUUGAAUCGAGUUUGACUAGUGCACUCUUUUAAGUUUUGAUUAGAUUUAAAAAAUUUAGACUCGAACCCGUUGAGCUCAAAAUCAAACUUGAUUUGGAUUUUGUUUUGCUUUACUUGAGCUGAAGCCUGAGUUCAUGCAAAUCAAAUUCAAUCGAGUUUAACUCAAACUCAAUUAAAUUUAAUCAAACUUAAUCAAAUUUUAGAAAUAUAAAAAUAUUUUAUAUAAUUUUAAAUAAAUGACAAAAUAGACAUUUUAUACUAAUAAAUAAAAAACAUAUAUGUGAAAUUCGAAUGAAUUCGACAAGUUUUUGACUUUCAUAUAUUAGGUUCGAGUUUGACUCAAAUUUUGACUGGAUAAACUCACGAACUAUUCGAUUAAACUCGACUCAUUUACAUAUCUGUAAAAUAUGUUAAUAAACUUAAGAAAAAGAUAUUAAUCGUAUAUUCAUUUAUUUGAUGAAAAAUGUUAAAAUACUACUGCUUAACGAGAAAAGUGCUUGUAAAUUGAUUCGCUACUAUUAUUUAAAACGAGACGCAAUGCAACUUGGGUGAAAGAAGAGGAGUGAAAAGUAAAAACACAUGAAAUCAUCCGUAGCCUAAUCUUACCCCACCGAAAUUAUCUAUUGAUUAAUUACUCUAAGAAUCACAUAUUUAUCUCUGAAGAUCAAUCCCAGCGUAAUAUAUAUCCCCCAUGAUUUGAGAUUUUCGCUAAAAUUUGUUUUAUUCUGCAAUAAAUAGAUGAUAGCUUUCCAAUCCACAGUAACUGAAGGGCACGUGUAAAAAUGUUAUUAAUGUUUCAAAUUCCCUCCUUUGAAGAUCAUUCCCAAUAUCUCUCCCAUUAUUUGAAUUGGCAUUCAUUACUGAUCGGUUUAUCCAGUCUCUACUGUAACUUACACUUCGGAAAGCCCGCUUUUCAGUAUCCCAGUAGCCACGUACUUCCCACUCGCAAUCCUAUAGCGCGUGGCCAACAUCCCACCAGCGAAUUAGACAUUCCCAUGAUACAUAGUUACUCAACUCAACCUCCACGGCCACCCCUACUGAUAAGCUCAUCUUCAGUCAGUCAAGAAAAGGCAAAAAGGUUACUACUACUUUUUCUUCCAUUGUCCUUUUUGUUUGUUCUUUCUUUUACUCCUCAAUCACUAUAUACUAAUAAAUGCGAGCGAUUCUUUAUCACUUUAUUUCUGACUGUUACUUCGGUCUUUUGAAGCUCAACAACAACUCCAGUGGCUAAAGCAACAAUUUCUGAAGAAUCCAUUUGCUUGAAUAUCCUGAAGAAGCUGAUGCUAUGAAUUUAAGGCAGCGUCCUCAAGCUACGCGCGGCCGCGGGACACUUGACGCGCCGCCUCGACCUCCCUUACAGCAGCAGGAGCCAUAUAACAUAAUUCCCAUUCAUAAUCUCUUGACUGACCAUCCUUCUCUCCGGUUCCCAGAGGUACGGGCCGCCGCAGCCGCCCUGCGCGCCACUGAGGACCUCAAGGUGCCGUCCUUUAUUCCGUGGAAUGAUUCCAUGGAUAUCAUGGACUGGCUGGGGUUCUUCUUCGGGUUCCAAGGGGACAACGUGAAGAACCAAAGAGAGCACUUGGUGCUUCACUUGGCAAACUCCCAAAUGCGCCUCCAACCUCCGCCAGCAAGCGUCGAUCGCCUUGAUUUUGGUGUACUCCGCCGCUUUAGUCAGAAGUUGCUCAAGAAUUACACCUCAUGGUGCUCUUAUUUGCGUAAAAGGUCUCAGGUUCGGCUUCCAAAACGCCAGAACUCUGCCCUUCUCCGCCGGGAACUCUUGUAUGUAAGCCUCUACUUGUUGAUUUGGGGUGAGGCGGCGAACCUCCGCUUUACGCCGGAAUGUUUGUGUUACAUUUAUCAUAACAUGGCUGGGGAGUUAAAUCACAUUCUUGAUGGGCAUAUUGAUGAAAAUACUGGACAGCCGUAUGUUCCCUCGACUUGUCGUCAGUAUGGUUUCUUGGAUUAUAUUGUUACACCUAUUUACACUGCAAUUAAGGGUGAAGUUGCGAGGAGCAGAAAUGGGGCUGCCCCACAUUCUGCUUGGAGGAAUUAUGAUGAUAUUAACGAGUACUUUUGGAGUAGAAAGUGCUUUAAGAGACUGAAAUGGCCUAUUGAUUUGUCGAGUAAUUUUCUUUUGGUUAGCGGUGGCGAGAGAGUAGGGAAGACAGGAUUUGUGGAGCAAAGAACUUUCUGGAAUGUUUUUAGGAGUUUUGAUAGGUUGUGGGUGAUGCUAAUUUUGUUCUUUCAGGCUGCUAUGCUUGUUGCCUGGGAGCGAAGCAAGUAUCCAUGGCAAGCCUUGGAGAGUAGGGAUCUGCAGGUGCAGCUGCUUACAAUAUUCAUUACUUGGGCAGCCUUGAGAUUUGUUCAAGCAAUUCUUGAUGCUGGGACACAGUACAGUUUAGUCUCAAGGGACACGAUAUGGAUUGGCGUGAGAAUGGUGUUAAAAGGGUUAGAUGCUCUCACGUGGACCGUUGUGUUUGGGGUGUUUUAUGGGAGGAUUUGGAGCCAAAAAAAUUCUGAUGGCAGGUGGUCAUAUGAAGCAAACCAGAGAAUAUUGACAUUUCUGAAGGUUGUUUUAGUCUACGUCAUUCCUGAGUUGUUGGCUCUGGUUCUUUUCAUUCUUCCAUGGAUUCGAAAUUUACUCGAGGAAGUGGAUUGGACUAUCUUUCGCUGGUUAAGAUGGUGGUUUUAUACCCCAAUAUUUGUCGGUCGGGGGCUCAGGGAAGGACUUGUUAGUAACAUAAAGUACACGAUAUUUUGGAUUCUUGUCCUGCUUUCAAAAUUCUUGUUCAGUUACUUCCUUCAGAUCAAGCCCCUGGUUGCUCCAACAAAGGCUCUUCUGAAGAUGCAUGGAACAUACAGGUGGCAUCAAUUUUUUGGUAGCACCAAUAGAGUGGCUGUAAUUAUGUUGUGGGUUCCUGUUAUUUUGAUAUAUUUAAUGGAUUUGUUAGUUUGGUAUUCAAUAUUCUCCUCUAUUGUCGGGGGAGUUAUUGGAUUGUUUUCUCAUAUAGGUGAGAUCCGAAACAUUCAACAGCUGAGGCUUCGAUUCCAGUUCUUUGCAAGCGCAUUGCAAUUUAAUCUAAUGCCUGAGGAUCACACCACAGGCUCGAAAGCAACACUGGUACACAAACUGCGGGAUGCACUGCAUAGACUGAAGCUGCGGUAUGGCCUUGGCCAGCCAUAUAAGAAGAUGGAAUCGAGCCAGGUGGAAGCAACUAGGUUUGCAUUGCUGUGGAAUGAAAUGAUAAUAACUUUGAGAGAGGAAGACCUGGUCAGUGACCAGGAAGUGGAGCUAAUGGAACUGCCUCCUAAUUGUUGGGACAUUAAGGUUAUUCGAUGGCCCUGUGCUCUUCUCUGCAAUGAGCUCUUGCUUGCUCUCAUUCAUGCAACAGAACUGGAGGAUGCGCCAGAUAGAUGGGUAUGGUAUAGGAUUUGCAAGAAUGAGUACAGACGCUGUGCUGUAAUUGAGGUGUAUGAUAGCAUCAAAUAUUUGCUUUGUAACGUUAUUAUUAAAGAUGGCACAGAAGAGCAUUCAAUAGUCACUAAUCUGUUCACUGGGAUUGAUGAAAGCAUUCAUUUUGAAAAGUUCGCAGAGACAUACAAGACAUCUGUUUUCCCCAAGAUUCAUGAACAGUUGAUAUCUCUCAUCCAUCUUUUGCUCAUGCCUCAGAAGAACAUGACAAAGAUAGUGAAUGUAAUGCAGUACUUGUAUGAGCUUUCUGUUCGAGAAUUUCCACGGAUGAAGAAAUCUGUUGCACUGUUGAAACAGGAAGGUUUAGCACCUCUAAAUCCUGCAUCAUCUGCGGAUGGACAACUUUUUGAAAAUGCUCUGGAAUUUCCUGAAGCUGGAGACAUUUUCUUCUAUAGGCAGCUAAGGCGUUUGCAGACAAUACUUACAUCUAAAGAUUCAAUGCACAAUGUCCCAAGAAAUCUUGAGUCGAGAAGACGCAUUGCUUUCUUUAGUAAUUCGUUAUUUAUGAACAUGCCACGAGCUCCGCAAGUUGAGAAGAUGAUGGCCUUCAGUGUCUUGACUCCUUACUAUGAUGAAGAUGUGUUGUAUGGUAAAGAAAUGCUUAGAAGUCCCAAUGAAGAUGGCAUCUCAACCUUAUUUUAUUUGCAGAAGAUUUAUGAAGAUGAGUGGACAAAUUUUCUGGAGAGGAUGCGCAGGGAAGGUAUGCAAAAUGAUGAUGAGAUUUGGACCACAAAGGUGAGGGAUCUCCGACUGUGGGCAUCACACAGAGGCCAGACAUUGUCUCGUACAGUGAGAGGGAUGAUGUACUACUAUAGGGCACUGAAAAUGCUUGCCUUCCUUGAUACUGCGUCUGAGUUGGAUAUAAGGCAGGGAUCGGACGGAAAUGCUUAUCUUGCUUCACUGCAGCAGAACAGCGGUUUGGAUGGACUAGAUUCUUACACGGCAUCAACUUCUCAAACUCUUGGCCGAGCAAGUAGCAGUGUGAGCCUUCUUUUCAAAGGUCACGAGUUUGGCAGUGCUAUGAUGAAAUUCACUUAUGUUGUUGCCUGCCAGAUGUAUGGGCAUCAUAAGGGAAAGGGUGAUCCUCGUGCUGAAGAUAUUUUCAACUUGAUGAAAAAUAAUGAGGCCCUUCGAGUAGCUUAUGUUGAUGAGGUUUACCUGGGAAGGGAAGAAGUGGAAUAUUACUCUGUCUUGGUGAAGUAUGAUCAACAACUAAAGAGCGAGGUUGAAAUUUACCGUAUCAAGUUGCCUGGUCCAUUGAAGCUGGGUGAAGGUAAACCAGAGAACCAGAACCACGCCAUCAUUUUUACUCGCGGUGAUGCAAUUCAGACCAUAGAUAUGAACCAAGAUAAUUAUUUUGAGGAGGCAUUGAAGAUGCGGAAUUUACUGGAGGAGUUUAAAUCCUAUCAUGGUAUCAGGAGGCCCACAAUUCUCGGAAUUCGUGAAAAUAUUUUUACUGGUUCUGUGUCAUCUCUUGCUUGGUUCAUGUCUGCUCAAGAAAUGAGUUUUGUAACUCUGGGGCAACGAGUUCUGGCAAAUCCUUUGAAGGUUCGGAUGCACUACGGUCAUCCUGAUGUCUUUGACAGAUUCUGGUUUUUGACUCGAGGUGGCAUAAGCAAAGCUUCUAAAGUGAUCAAUAUUAGUGAGGACAUAUAUGCGGGAUUCAAUUGCACGUUGCGAGGUGGCAAUGUGACCCACCAUGAGUACAUACAGGUGGGUAAGGGAAGGGAUGUUGGAUUAAAUCAGAUAUCCAUGUUUGAGGCAAAGGUUGCUAGCGGCAAUGGUGAGCAGGUCUUGAGUAGAGACGUAUACAGGUUGGGUCAUCGGCUAGAUUUCUUUCGUAUGCUUUCGUUCUUUUAUAGUACUGUCGGAUACUUCUUCAACACCAUGAUGGUGGUCCUCAUGGUCUACACUUUUCUUUGGGGACGCCUUUAUCUUGCUCUCAGUGGUGUUGAAAACAGUGCCAAGGAAGCGAGUGACAAUAAAGCGCUUGGUGCAAUCUUGAAUCAACAGUUCAUCAUCCAAAUUGGUAUUUUCACUGCCCUCCCAAUGAUUGUGGAAAAUUCUCUAGAACAUGGGUUCCUUCCUGCUAUUUGGGAUUUUGUAACAAUGCAACUGCAGCUUGCUUCACUGUUUUACACAUUCUCACUUGGAACACGUGCACAUUAUUUUGGUCGGACCAUUCUUCAUGGAGGUGCCAAGUACAGGGCUACUGGACGUGGUUUUGUUGUGCAACAUAAAAGCUUUGCAGAGAACUAUAGAUUAUAUGCUCGCAGCCAUUUUGUGAAAGCAAUUGAGCUUGGAGUGAUUCUCAUAGUGUACGCCUCACAUAGUCCUUUGGCUUCAAAUACCUUUGUUUACAUUGCAAUGACCAUCUCAAGUUGGUUCCUUGUUGUAUCGUGGAUGAUGUCACCCUUUAUCUUCAAUCCUUCUGGUUUUGAUUGGUUGAAAACUGUCUACGACUUCGAUGAUUUCAUGAAAUGGCUAUGGUAUAAUAGAGGAGUUUUCAUAAAAGCAGAUCUCAGCUGGGAAACAUGGUGGUACGAGGAGCAGGAGCACUUGAGGACAACUGGUCUUUGGGGAAAAUUACUGGAGAUUAUUUUAGAUCUUCGUUUCUUCUUUUUCCAGUACGGAAUUGUUUACCACUUGAACAUUACUGGUAAGAACAAAAGUAUUGCUGUGUAUUUGCUGUCUUGGAUCUACAUGGUUGUGGCAGUUGCAAUCUAUAUUGUCAUAGGAUAUGCUCAGGAAAAGUAUGCUGCAAAGAAGCAUAUCUACUAUCGACUGGUUCAGUUGGUUGUUAUUGUGCUUAUUGUACUUGUGAUCUUUCUGUUGCUCAAGUUCACUGGCUUUACAUUUCUUGAUCUUAUCUCGAGUCUCUUGGCAUUUAUACCCACGGGAUGGGGCAUAAUACAAAUUGCUCAAGUUCUCAGGCCUUUUCUGCAAUCCACAGUAGUUUGGGAGACUCUAGUCUCCUUGGCUCGUCUGUAUGAUAUGAUAUUUGGGUUAAUUGUUAUGGUUCCUCUGGCAAUUGUGUCAUGGAUGCCUGGACUAGAGUCGAUGCAGACAAGGAUGCUGUUCAAUGAAGCUUUCAGCAGGGGACUCCAGAUAUCUCAGAUCCUGACUGGCAAAAAGUCCAACUAGGACAUGUAAUAACAGGUAGUUUUCUAUUUCAAAUUUCUCAAAUACUCCUCCCAUGUGGAUAUACAAGGACCUGUGUUGUGCAGUUCCUUGUACCCAAUUGUUUGCUUCUGCUUAAUCUAAUUGUGUGCUUGUGCUUAAUCUACUUUUUCAUUGCAGUGAUUUUUGACUAAUUCUUCAUUUGUGAAUUAGGAAUAUUAGCUGCAACUUGUGACUACAUAGGAACGAGAUUGGAGGGAAGGGUUGGGUUGGGUGGUAAGGUAGGAGGGAUUGUAAGUUGGAGGUCUUGAAGUUGGAGGUCCUGGGUUCAAGACCUCCCACUUACACCAAAAAAAAAAAAAGCAUAGUAAUGAGAUUGUGUCAGAUCCUUCUGGUCUUUUCCAGAUAUUCAAAAGCUUGGUGGACCACUUCUGAUCAAUUAACAAUUGCCUUGGAUCAAUGAGAAUACUAGAUUGAAUCUCAAACCCUGAGUUAUUAUUUUACUUUUCUUUACUUGGCUUUAGUGUCUUCCUUUUUCUUUGCACUUGAUUCUGGAAAGUAUAAGAAUUGCAUUGACCUGGGUAAUAUCUGACUCCUUUGUCCUGUCUAAGCAGGAAAGUUCAGGUUGCCUUCCUUUUGGAUCUUAAAUUGAUACGAGUUCUCAAUCUUCGAAGGAGUUUUUCUUCUGUAGCCAGACUUGUAAAGCUGAAGUACAAUUUUGGGCCUAGAUAUGAAACCUGAAUUAUUGAUUGAUGUCUUUAUUACUGUUGGUCAUUUCUUGGAAUCGACAUAGAUUUCUAUGUUGCCAUGAUUGAAACAAAAUUUAGAUUGUGGUUUUCUCACAGCAUGAAGUUUUGCCUUAACAAGGCUGUGGAUGUUGAUAAGAUUAUAUUCAUGAAAAAAAUUUAUAAACUGUAUAUUUUGUCAAAUAAUGAAGCUAAUUUACCUGAUAUUCGGUCCUGACAGGCUGUUGGCACCAACCAGGAUCAACUUUACAUAUGGGCCUUGAAGAGCCAUGGCCCACUUAAUUCUAGAAAUCUGCCUUCUGUAAUUUCCAUCUAAGGUUAGAAAUCCUCACAUAUGACUUGUCAAUUGUAAAACUAGACUGUAUAAUAUUUCCUUCUAUUUCUAAACGAAGGUUCUAAAAGUUGUUUUUGGUCUUUGUACCCCAACAAGAUUUGGCUGUUAGCUGGAUACCAGAGUAGAUCGCUUGUAGUAGGUAUGAUUGCCUGAUAAUUAAGAAUUUAUGCUUGUUCAUUGAUUCUAUCCUCACAGGCAAAUCAACCACAGGGUUGAAAUCUGUUAAUCUAAUUGCCAGCCGUUAUCUGACUUUAGUUCUAUCCAACAAGAAGGUUAAAAUUUUCCUCUUUUAGAAGCUGAAAGCAUACGGGAUCUAGUAUGAGCCAUAAGUGGAGUAGCGACAUGGAAUGUAAUUGGCCCUAUGGCGAAUGCCAAGGACAUGAGUGAACUGGUCAUGGUUUUAUCUAUAAAGAGGUCAGGGAUGGCACCAAAUAAAUGAAACUGGUUCAAAUAUGGGUUGUAAGCUGCUGGUCAGCGAGCGUUUCAUGUAAUUUAAUUCAAACAAAAAAAAAACAAAGAAAAAAAAAAUAGUAGUCUCAGUAAUCAUCAUGAUAUUGCUAUAGUGAAUUCUCAAUUUGUUCUUUUAAUGAAGAGGGCUGUGAUUAUUGUUUUUGUUUCUCCUUCUUUACUGGCCCUAUGAUUUACAAGCGCAGUUUUUUUUUCUUUUUAAUUUUCUUUGUUUUUUUCACAUGGUUGAUACAACUAAAUGACUGAUUCCGAGUAGUCGCAUUUUCAUUUCAUGGUUUGCCAUUGUUUGGCUAUUUGCCGGAUUAAAAGACUGCUUGUCUUUCUAUUACUUAGACAUGAUUUUCUUCUUUCCAGGCCUAAAGGAGAAAUUUCUCUGGAGUAUCUCUUGGACUAAUGCACUGGCAGCAUGUAAUUCCGAUGAUGGACAGUCCUGUUAUAUUUUGAUUUUGAUGCUCAGUGGUUGGGCAAUAACCAGGAAGCAGUAUAUAAUUAACUGUUAGUGGGAUGAUUAGUUACACGCUUAUAGUUUUGUAAUUAAGCAAUUUGAAGAAAUAGACUUGGUUUUCCUUGUUCAUGUAAACAUCUCUGAUCUGAUGCUGUACAUAUUUUCACAUGUAAAUUAAAGUAGCUUGGUGCUGUUCCAGACUACAGUUUUGUGCAAAAUUUUUAGACAAUUUCGAUCUGCUUUUUGGAAAAGCUCCUCUUAAAUUGUGCUCCUCUUAUUGCCUUUUAUGGACCAGCUGUUCGAGUUGUAACAGAUUAGAGAGUAUCACCAUUUAUACAUUGAAAUUGAAGAAAGCAUUUCCUUCAGUUGGAAAAGAUGAUAGUAGCAUCAUUCUUCUUUAAUGGUAGAGGUAAGUGAGUAUUAUUUUGAAGCAGGUUAGACCACUCUAUAACGGCCUCAUAGUUGGGGAUCAUGUUCAUUUUCAUUAAAAAUAUGAUGCAAUUGAAGCUACUGGAACUUGCGUCUGCAAAACAGUGCGUGGACCAAGAUUGCGUACCCAGAAAAACUUGAAUUUUGGCAGAACAAAUGACAGAACAACCAGCGCAUUUCAAGCAAACGAGUCUUUGGCAGUUGUUUCUUUUGAGCAAAACAAACACCUUGCCGGGAGAUUAUCGAAACACAGGAAAAAGAAGUUCAAAAGCAUGCAUGACUGGCUGAAUGAAAAUUUUUUAGCUAUAAGCAAUUGAAACAAAGUCGUCGUCUCAAGCAUGAAUUAUUCUGUAUCAGUGUUAACUACAGGCACUCUCUCGUACACUAAAUUUUGUCUAAAUCUCUUAGGAAGAAGGAAGCGCCCACCAAAUGUCUGCUGCAAGAAAAUGAGGAAUGCUAACAAGAGACCAACACCACAGAUUAUGAUAUCCCAGGC